rnacentral:rRNA from 1 species
UAUUGCACCAUGGGGGAAACCCUGAUGCCGCAACGCCGCGCGAAGGAAGACGGUUUUCGGAUUGUAAACUUCUGUUCUUAGUGAAGAAACAUGACGGUAGCGAAGGAGCAAGCCACGGCUAACUACGUGCCAGCAGCCGCGGUAAUACGUAGGUGGCAAGCGUUGUCCGGAAUUACUGGGUGUAAAGGGAGCGCAGGCGGGAAGCCAAGUCAGCUGUGAAAACUACGGGCUUAACCUGUAGACUGCAGUUGAAACUGGUUUUCUUGAGUGAAGUAGAGGUUGGCGGAAUUCCGAGUGUAGCGGUGAAAUGCGUAGAUAUUCGGAGGAACACCGGUGGCGAAGGCGGCCAACUGGGCUUUAACUGACGCUGAGGCUCGAAAGCGUGGGGAUCG